UGAAGGGCAAGAGAGGUUCACUGCUAUCAACUCAUCCCGUCAAGAUGGCUCCCCAAGGCAGUACCAGAUGGGGUCUGAUUGUCAAAUUGUUCAUCCUCCUAAAUCUGCUCGUACCAGUGGCCCUUGAGACAAUAACUACCGAGUGGUGUCAACAACCCAUCGUCAGAGCUACCGCCAGCAAGGAGCAUCUGAGCCAAGAAUAAGAAUGACAAGUGUGUACGCUGCCAGCUUUGCAAUCAGCGUGGAAAUGAGCCGACUUAUAGAUGCUGAGCAAUCUUACAGAAGGGGCCCCAGCUGCAGACGAACGCCAGACCCAGAGUGAAAAACAAAGCGGGGACGUUCGGUAUUUUCCUCUCAGCUGCUGCAGACCGAGGGCCUUGGCAGUGGGGUGGGGUUGUCAGGAGUUACGGAGUUAUUUCUGGAGACCUUCAAGAACUGUGGUCCCCGCCCCCCUUGAGGAAGGAUUUCGUCUGUUAAAGCAAUGACCAACUCCAUAUCAGACAAAGUAAACGUGCAUGCCGAGCCAGAAGCACCUCAGCAUACCUGAAAGCAAGGAGAGUAUGACAGACUACUAGUCGAGGAGUCUCCCGUGGCCCAAAGAUACUCAAGCCACACUUACCUGGUCUGGAUCAUCUCAGAAUAUGUCAACUUCCAUCUAUUUUGCAAGUCUAAAAGGUGGGAUCUGGGACUGCCAGUGCCUUCACUGAGGGUCAGAGGCCUGAAACCCAAGACCCCUGACACGCCAGCUAGCCCACCCGAAGUCCAUGACCAUCUUCCCUGAUGCCACCCCAGCAAACACUACCAGCAAAAUCAACUAUGCUGCUCUAGGCUCUGGGUAAAGAAAGACAUACAAGACCAGAAGGCCUAAGUAUGCAGAAAAGGGGCCUUAACCCCUGAGGAGGGCUGAAGAGUGCUGGAGCAGGCACGCGCCCUUGCUGAUCAAGAACAUUUAACAAAUAACCACCACCCAGUAGGUGGCACUGCCGUGCAGGAGCAGGACCCAGACUGGGAUUACAACCGCAAGAUGGGUAUCAAGGCCCGGGACAGGUACAUUAAUUGUUUGCUCCAUGGGCUAGGCAAAGCCACCAUGAAAUCUAUAAAUUAUGAUAAGCUUAAUGAAAUCAUACAGGACAAAAAUGAAAACCCUUCUGCCUUCCUGCAAAGGCUGACCGAUGGCCUCUGUCAGUAUACUAAACUGGACCCUGAGUCUGUUGAUGGCCAGCGGCUGGUCAUGAUGCAUUUUUUUCUCUCAAAGCUACCCUGACAUUAGACUUAAAUUAAAAGGCUUAAGAAGGAACCCCUAACUCCUCCUUCUGAGGUUUUGGCCAUGGCAUUUAAGGCCUAUUAUGGCCAUGAUGAUCUCAAAACCACAAAAAGGUACCAAUUACUAGCAUAGGCCAUCAAUCCUACCAGGCCACAAUGGCUUCAUAACAGGGGACCCUUUAAUAAGAGACCCUCUCACCCACCGGGACCCUGCUUCCAUUGUGAUCAGGAGGGCCACUGGGCCAAGGAGUGCCCAAACCCAAGCCUUCCACAAAACCCUGCCCAAAAUGCAAACAGAGUGGACAUUGGGGUUCUGACUGCCCCCUGAUGUCCACCCAUCAUUGGGCUGCCAUCCCCACCAUUCCCCCAAAUGACCUCAUCGGUCUCACAAUGGCAGAGGAUCUAUGAAGAGGCCUUAGGAUUCCCGCUCAGGAGCCCAGGGUGACUGUCAUCGUGGCAGGUAGGACGAUCGCCUUUUUACUCGACACUGGUGCCAGUUUUUCUGCACUGUAAGAAUAUUGGGGGCCCACCUCCCUGUCUCGGACCUCUGUUGUUGGGGAAGGAGGUCAAAAACAACGCCUUCGACCGACUCAUCUCCUGUCGUGCACAACUGGUGAUUUUUCAUUUCUCCAUUCCUUCCUAAUCCUCCCUUCUUGUCCUGUUCCUUAUUGGGUCACAACAUCCUCUCCAAAAUUGGCACCUCCAUCCAUUUCACGACACGGGACCCCUCCAGCACUCCGAUGUCUUCCCUUUGCCUUUUGUUGUCCCAGGCUAUCGAACCCCAGACUCCAUCAUCCAGAUGGUCUGACCCUGCCUAGGUAAAUCCCUGGGUGUGGGACAUUCAAUCCCCCUCAGUGGCCACAUGCCCUCCGGUUAAGACCUUCCUUAAAAACCCUACAUACUUUCCAACUCAGGCUCAAUACCCCUCCCUCUUUCUAGCCUAAACAGACUGGCUCCAAUUAUCAAAAGUUUAUUAGAAAAGGGAUUUUUGAGGCCUGCCAAUUCCCCACACAAUCCACCCAUCUUAGUGGUCAGAAAGCCUAAUGGGACAUAUCCGCUAGUUCAGGAUCUCUGCAUCAUUAAUACGGCUGUGGUUCCAAUCCACCUUGUUGUCCCCAAUCCAUAUAUGCUCCUGUGUUCUAUUCCAUCUAAUCCCACCCAUUUUUCAGUCCAAGAUUUAAAAGAUGCCUUCUUCUCCAUUCCUUUACAUGCAGAUUCCCAAGAACUUUUUGACCUUACGUGGACUAGCCCUUCCACUGGUGUCUCCACACAACUAACCUGGACUGUCGUACCCAAGGGUUUUGAGAUAGCCCCCAUCUGUUUGGCCAACUCCUAGCUCAUGGUCCGUCUCUUCUCCAGCUUCAAGGUUCACAAUGUAUCCAAUAUGUAGAUGAUCUUCUCUGUGCCCCUUUGAUUACUAUACUCCAACAAGAUACUUACAUAUUUUAAAAUUUCAUUUCAGAAAAGGGAUACUGAGUCUUGCCAACCAAAGUUCAACUCUUUAAACAAUAGGUCAUACACUUUGGGCUGUCUCUAUUUCCUGGGCUUCGAUACCUCAGGUCUUGGAUCCCAAAUUAUUCCCUUCUAGCUGCCCCCCUCUAUGAGGCCUCUAAGGGAAACCCAUACGAACCGGUAAAUUCCUUAAUAGCUACUCCCUUUGCCCAUCUCAAAUCCUGCCUAUUAGAGGCUCCUGCUUUACACCUACCUGAUCUUUCUCGCCACUUUUACCUCUAUGUGUCAGAGAACAAGGGAUCUGCACUAGGGGUUCUGGGCCAUCAAAUGGGGCCCACUUUUGCUCCAGUGGUUUACUUGUGCAAAAGGUUGGAUCCCACUGUCAGAGUCUGGGCCCCCUGUCUAUGAGGCCUAGGUGCCACAUUCCUCCUAGUGCAGGAAUCAGAAAAGCUCACGUUUGGGUCCCCAACUGUCAUCCAGUCUCAUCAUUCCAUUUCAGAUCUGUUAAACUACAAAAACCUACAUAGCUUACCCCCUUGCAGAAUCUUGUCUCUUCAGACCACACUUCUCCACGACUCCUCGUUAACCUUCCAGCUUUGUCCUGCUCUAAAUCACUCUGCCCGAUUACCAGCUUCCAACCAGGGUCCUCUCCACGAAUGCUUAGAAACUUGAAACCCUUUCACCUCAUGAUUCCCAUAUACAGGAAGGACCCCUCUCUUCCCCUGAUUUCAUUUGGUUCACAGAUGGCAGUUCUCUUGUUCGAAACGGGUCCAAAUGGGCAGGAUAUGCUAUUGUGUCACAGUCUGGAAUUAUUGAGCAAGGACCAUUGCCUUCCCACGCAAACACCCAAAAGGCAGAACUUAUCACUCUCACUCGCACUUUGACUCUGGCUCCAAAUAUGCUUUCCACAUUUUUCUCUCUCACAUAGCAAUUUGGCGGGAAAGAGGGUUCUGCUCAACCAUGGACAGCUCUGUUCAAAAUUCCAAGUUCAUCUGUAAGCUCUUACAGGCCUCUAGGUUGCCCACAGCAAUUGGCAUCAUACACUGCAGGGCCGAUCGUUCCGAUCCAUCGGAGAUAACUGAGGCCAAUAACAAGGCUGAUCGUACAGCAAAAAGAGCAGCUCUGGCUUCAACCGUGCUUGCCGUGAUGGAUACCCACUAAAUUGACCAGCACAGUCAGAUAGAAAGCCUCACACAAGAUCAACUCACAUAUCUUCAUAAAAUUUUGCACCCUGGCUCUGGGGCCCUACUUACUCACUUUCCUAGAACCACUGACCACUCUCUUCCCCUCCGAUAAGCAAUUCCUUCAGAUUCUCCUCCACCUGCACCUGCAAUAUAUGCCAAAAGACCAAUCCCUCCUCAAGACCUGCCUCAUUUCCCACACAUCGGCAAGGUGCCUGCUACCUGCCAUGGAUUGGCAAACUGAUUUCACACACAUGCCUGAGAAAAGAAGACAUAAAUACCUGCUAGUUCUGGUAGACACCUCUUCUGGGUGGGUUGAGGCCUUCCCCACUACAAAUAAACGUGCUUUCACUGUUUCUGUCCUCCUCCUCAAAGAAAUCAUACCUAGGUUUGGACUUCCUACUAUGCAGUUUGAUAAUGGUCCUGAAUUCACCUCUCAGGUAACCCAAGGCCUUACAAAGCUAUUAGGAAUCUCCUGGCAUUUUCAUAUCCCAUUCCAUCCUAAAUCAUCGGGAAAGGUAGAACGGACUAACAGGUCCAUCAAGACCAUUCUCACAAAGUUGAGCCUAGAACUCCAUCCACACCAAUUGGAUCGCCCUCCUUCUGCUCGCCCUACUCAGACUUAGAUCCCUGCCUAAGGCCCCCCUCCAGAUUUCCCCUUUUGAAUUGAUGUUGGAAGCCCCCUGCUGCCCCCAGGAUUGACUCCCCAGUCUCUCCAUUGCCCCCCGGCUUACUAACCCCAUUACUUAACUGGGUCCGAUUCCAAAUAUGGCCACAUGCAGAUACACUGCUGCCGUCCCUGCUCCCUGCACUGCCGAUUACCUAUCACCCAGGAGACCUGGUUCUCCUGGCUCCACCACAUCAACAGAAAGACCCACUCAAUCCUAAAUUUCAGGGACCAUUCACAGUUGUCCUUUCAACUCCGACAGCGGUUAAACUUAAUCCCUUCCCAGAUGGUUCUAUUGCUCUCGUGUUAAAUCAUAUCUUCAUGCUCCUCUCCCAGUCAUAUCCACAGGACCUCAUCUAUGCUAUUCAGCCACCCCCACGGGACCUCUGAAGGUCAAACUUUCUCAGAUUCCAAAAGACGUGGUUGCCCAGGAUCCUUCACCAUCAUCCAGUCCCAAGUCAGAUAAACCAACCUGUUCUACCCUCUUGUUCUCUCAUGCGGUAUUCUGACACAUUCCACACUACAGCACUCACUGGUAUCCUAAGUGUUCUUAUAUUAGUACUCCUGGGACUUGUCCUUGGAAUAGGAUUGGCCAUAGUAUCUCCUCCCAAUUACAAUUUUACCUCCAGGUGUCUACUCACAUUGGCCUAUUACCUCAUAAUCUCACUCUUUGCCAUUCUUUAUUGCUGGACACAAUAAUGGUUCCUCUCCUGCUCCUGUUUUCUCUCCUAAACCUUACCCAAGCCAAAAGACCUGCAGUGUGCACUCCCAGCCUUACUCAGCCCUCCUUCAGACCCAGGUAGGAUCUCCUGACUUUACAUUCCAGGUCACCUUGUGCCAAUUCUUUGACCAAACCCCAUCAAAUUCCUGCCGCUCUUCAGACUGGCCCAUGGCUGAUUUCUGCCGUCCUUUCUGUAUCUACCUAUGCCCCACCACUGGCCCUACACACUGCCAUUCACCUGGACAGCCCAAUUAGAUCAACAAAUCGUCUUUCCUCCAACUUGUUAGAUAAUCCUCAGCCCUUUAAGAUGAACAUCACAGUCAAAGAUCCCACUGAUCCAUCAUGGCAGUCCGGAAGGACGUGGGGUCUCAGGCUUUACGUGAAAGGGAUGGAUCCAGGUUCACAGUUACCAUCACCUGCAGGUCUUGGAUACCCGGGACUGCUUCACCCCCAUCCGUUAUCCAAGUUGUGCAUAAUGUUUCACCAGAACUCCACCACUUGGACCGAUCCCUGGCCCAACUUAUAAGGCAAGCCAGACUGGAUGGAACAAAAAUUGUUGCUGUGGGUGUUUGGGUCUCUCCAGAGGCUCUUUUCUUGGUUAUCUAAUACCUCCUACUGCACUGAGGGCUGCUGGACAGGACUCAACAUACGUGGGCUACUGUCCAUCACCCCACAGGCUUGGCCACUUCCCUGGCCUCUUCCAUGGAAUCAUUCAUUCCACCCAACAAAAGGCUUAAUACAGACACCAGGCCAAAUUUUUCAUUUAAUCACCCAGCCCCAGUGUGCCUCAGUCUUACAGGAAACAUCACCAUACUGGGGAUACCAAUAUCUAAUUGUGCUAAUGUCACCCGUUUAUCUUUUAAACAACUCCUUCUCCAACAUAACCAUACUGUGUGGAACAACUGUGUGGUCGGGAAUUAAUACCUCUUGGAAUGCUCUCUGCACUCCAGUUCUGUCGGCCCCGCUUUCUAUAUAAUACCAGGAAAUGAGGGAAUCCCCAUCCCCAUAACUAGGACGGCCCAAACCUGACAGAAAAGAGCAUUACAGGUGGCCAUUAUGCCCCUCAUAUCAGCACUGGGCAUAGCAGUAGGUCUGGUUACAGGAACGGCAGGAUUGUCCCACUGUGUUGUCCAAGAAAAACACCUGACAGAACAACACGAAGAAGACAUUACCCAACUUUCUAAGGUGAUCCUGACACUCCAACAACACAUCAAUUCACACUCUCAGGUGGUCCUGCAGAACAGUCGUGGACUCGAGUUCCUAUUCACAGAAAAAGGAGGACUUUGUUUAGCUAACCAAGAAAACUGUUUUUUCUUUGUUAACUAAUCAAGAGUGGUACCUGACCAAAUCUGCAGACUUCAGGAGAGCCUGGAAAGGCGACGCAGUGAGUGUGAGUCAGGGACUAAUGGGGGACUAACUAGCUGGCUCAACAGGCCUCUACUAACUUCUUUACUUCCCUUUAUGACCCCUCUAUUGGUUAUCCUUACUCUGUUGGCGGUCACCCCCUAUGUUCUCCAUUUUAUUCAUUCCCAGAUCAGCCGCCUUUCUGCUCAAAUCUCCGGACGGACGGCUCACCAGAGGAUACUUCAGGCCAGAGACCUAAACGAGACCACCGAGUUUACAUGGCAGCCAACCAACCAACCAUAGCUCAGAGCUCAGCUUGGUUGGAACAUUUUCUCAAUGAUCUUUGAAUUGACAUUCUCUGGUUUGCUCCCCACCUUUGCCCUGUUGCCCACACAGCAGACUGGGUCACUAACGUGUGGCUCCAACAAACUUUAUCGGACUUCACCCCAACUGAAAUCACAAUCUUUAACUUUUUUACUCGUUUUACUAACCCUCCCACCCAGUCCACAGCCUGGUACAUCCCAGGAUAUUCCUUUGGACUAGAAGAUAUCCUCAGGACACCCGAUCUGUCCCAAAACCCAUGGUCCGAAACUUUUCAGGCUCCUCGCCCAAAAUUUCCUCCCAUAUAAUUGGGCUUUAAUACCUCACCUUACAUAUCCUCCCCAACACUGUAUCUACUGCACACAGGAGGUUGUCUCUAUCCUAAGGAGCCCAACACAAAGGGAACAAAAAAGAACCUACUCCCAUGGUACUACACUGUUCAUCAGGAGGAUUUCAGAUAUUCCUCCAACCCCUCCGAGCACUGUCAUAUGUCCACACAAGUUCUGUUAAAGCCUGAUGGGCCCCAACAAGUGCCUGGCACCUCCUGGUUUCCCUCGGGCUCAGGCAUUGCUCUCCUGGUCCACCUGUUCUGCCAUGAGCCUGCCUUUCCAAAAGGGUGUACGCUAGAAGAUCCCCUUCAGGCAGACUAUGGCUUUUAUUAUGUUCCCAUCCUCUUUGUACUGACCUUUCUAGACAGCAUACAAGGCUGACCACUUCCUCAGGUCAUCACCGAGAUAUUCCAAGAUGGGCUACACAGGGCUCGUAAAGAUCGGAUAGGGACCUGAGUAUGACAACAUUGGGAGGCCUGAUGUGGGCCUCAUAGAAAUUAUCUUUUACUCCUCUUUGCUCCUUCACUAACUGAUUUGUGUGCUUCGACUCUUCUCAGGGAGCCCUACCAACAGUUCCAGUGGGAAUGCUACUGCUGUCAACAAUUCCAUGUUCAUAAAGGACAACGCAGCUGCCCGUGGCCCACGCCUGCCCCCAGACAGCUUCGUGGCCCCAAUGUCAGCAGAAGUACUUACAAAACACAGACACACGGCCCCUUUUCCCUGGCGUAUAAUGUGCCAGCUGCUGUCUCCAUCUAAACCAAAGAGGGGGGAAUGUUAGGGACCUGACACCGCCUCCGUCACAGGCUGCAUUCUGCUGGUUCUUCUUGCCUCCUAAAAUGACCUCAUGCUCUUACCUUUAGUUUCCCUCCCCACAAGGCCACA